GACGAAGGUCCCGAGCGUUGUUCGGAAUUACUGGGCGUAAAGGGAGCGUAGGCUGCGCGGAUAGUCAGGUGUGAAAUUCCCAGGCUCAACCUGGGGACUGCAUCCGAUACUUCCGCGCUUGAGGGCUAGAGGGGAGUCUGGAAUUCACGGUGUAGCAGUGAAAUGCGUAGAUAUCGUGAGGAACACUAGUGGCGAAGGCGAGACUCUGGAUAGAUCCUGACGCUGAGGCUCGAAGGCCAGGGGAGCGAAGGGG
rnacentral:rRNA from 1 species